rnacentral:rRNA from 1 species
UAUAGAGGUCUCGAGCGUUAGGCGGAAUCACUGGGCUUAAAGCGUGUGUAGGUGGAUCGUUAAGUACCUUGUGAAAUCCCACGGCUUAACCGUGGAACUGCUUGGUAUACUGGCGGUCUUGAGCCAGCUAGGGGCUACCGGAACAAAUGGUGGAGCGGUGAAAUGCGUAGAUAUCAGGAGGAACACCGAUGGCGAAGGCAGGUCUCUGGGCCAUAACUGACGCUGAGAAGCGAAAGCAUGGGGGAGCGAACAGG